rnacentral:rRNA from 1 species
CACGUAGGGGGCAAGCGUUGUCCGGAAUUAUUGGGCGUAAAGAGCGUGUAGGCGGCCCGGUUAGUCCGCUGUGAAAGUCCAGGGCUCAACCCUGGAAUGCCGGUGGAUACUGUCGGGCUAGAGUCCGGAAGGGGCGAGUGGAAUUCCUGGUGUAGCGGUGAAAUGCGCAGAUAUCAGGAGGAACACCAAUGGCGAAGGCAGCUCGCUGGGACGGUACUGACGCUGAGACGCGAAAGCGUGGGGAGCGAACAGG